GCUGGUUGUACUAGCUAGCCAGGAUCAGGUCAUGGUGGCUGGUUGUACUAGCUAGCCAGGAUCAGGUCAUGGUGGCUGGUUGUACUAGCUAGCCAGGAUCAGGUCAUGGUGGCUGGUUGUACUAGCUAGCCAGGAUCAGGUCAUGGUGGCUGGUUGUACUAGCUAGCCAGGAUCAGGUCAUGGUGGCUGGUUGUACUAGCUAGCCAGGAUCAGGUCAUGGUGGCUGGUUGUACUAGCUAGCCAGGAUCAGGUCAUGGUGGCUGGUUGUACUAGCUAGCCAGGAUCAGGUCAUGGUGGCUGGUUGUACUAGCUAGCCAGGAUCAGGUCAUGGUGGCUGGUUGUACUAGCUAGCCAGGAUCAGGUCAUGGUGGCUGGUUGUACUAGCUAGCCAGGAUCAGGUCAUGGUGGCUGGUUGUACUAGCUAGCCAGGAUCAGGUCAUGGUGGCUGGUUGUACUAGCUAGCCAGGAUCAGGUCAUGGUGGCUGGUUGUACUAGCUAGCCAGGAUCAGGUCAUGGUGGCUGGUUGUACUAGCUAGCCAGGAUCAGGUCAUGGUGGCUGGUUGUACUAGCUAGCCAGGAUCAGGUCAUGGUGGCUGGUUGUACUAGCUAGCCAGGAUCAGGUCAUGGUGGCUGGUUGUACUAGCUAGCCAGGAUCAGGUCAUGGUGGCUGGUUGUACUAGCUAGCCAGGAUCAGGUCAUGGUGGCUGGUUGUACUAGCUAGCCAGGAUCAGGUCAUGGUGGCUGGUUGUACUAGCUAGCCAGGAUCAGGUCAUGGUGGCUGGUUGUACUAGCUAGCCAGGAUCAGGUCAUGGUGGCUGGUUGUACUAGCUAGCCAGGAUCAGGUCAUGGUGGCUGGUUGUACUAGCUAGCCAGGAUCAGGUCAUGGUGGCUGGUUGUACUAGCUAGCCAGGAUCAGGUCAUGGUGGCUGGUUGUACUAGCUAGCCAGGAUCAGGUCAUGGUGGCUGGUUGUACUAGCUAACCAGGAUCAGGUCAAGGGUGGCUGGUUGUACUAGCUAGCCAGGAUCAGGUCAUGGUGGCUGGUUGUACUGGCUAACCAGGAUGAGGUCAUGGUGGCUGGUUGUGUUGGCUAACCAGGAUGAGUCAUGGUGGCUGGUUGUACUAGCUAGCCAGGAUCAGGUCAUGGUGGCUGGUUGUACUAGCUAACCAGGAUCAGGUCAAGGGUGGCUGGUUGUACUAGCUAGCCAGGAUCAGGUCAUGGUGGCUGGUUGUACUGGCUAACCAGGAUGAGGUCAUGGUGGCUGGUUGUGUUGGC